rnacentral:rRNA from 1 species
CCUACGGGAGGCAGCAGUGGGGAAUUUUGGACAAUGGGCGCAAGCCUGAUCCAGCCAUGCCGCGUGCAGGAUGAAGGCCUUCGGGUUGUAAACUGCUUUUGUACGGAACGAAAAGACUCUGGUUAAUACCUGGGGUUCAUGACGGUACCGUAAGAAUAAGCACCGGCUAACUACGUGCCAGCAGCCGCGGUAAUACGUAGGGUGCGAGCGUUAAUCGGAAUUACUGGGCGUAAAGCGUGCGCAGGCGGUUAUAUAAGACAGAUGUGAAAUCCCCGGGCUCAACCUGGGAACUGCAUUUGUGACUGUAUAGCUAGAGUACGGUAGAGGGGGACGGAAUUCCGCGUGUAGCAGUGAAAUGCGUAGAUAUGCGGAGGAACACCGAUGGCGAAGGCAAUCCCCUGGACCUGUACUGACGCUCAUGCACGAAAGCGUGGGGAGCAAACAGGAUUAGAUACCCUGGUAGUCCACGCCCUAAACGAUGUCAACUGGUUGUUGGGUCUUCACUGACUCAGUAACGAAGCUAACGCGUGAAGUUGACCGCCUGGGGAAUCGGCCGCAAGGUUGAAACUCAAAUGAAAUUGACGG